GAGGGGGAUAACUACUGGAAACGGUAGCUAAUACCGCAUAAUGUCUACGGACCAAAGUGGGGGACCUUCGGGCCUCAUGCCAUCAGAUGUGCCCAGAUGGGAUUAGUAGUAGGUGGGGUAAUGGCUCACCUAGGCGACGAUCCUAGCUGGUCUGAGAGGAUGACCAGCCACACUGGAACUGAGACACGGUCCAGACUCCUACGGGAGGCAGCAGUGGGGAAUAUUGCACAAUGGGCGCAAGCCUGAUGCAGCCAUGCCGCGUGUGUGAAGAAGGCCUUCGGGUUGUAAAGCACUUUCAGCGAGGAGGAAGGGUUCAGUGUUAAUAGCACUGUUCAUUGACGUUACUCGCAGAAGAAGCACCGGCUAACUCCGUGCCAGCAGCCGCGGUAAUACGGAGGGUGCAAGCGUUAAUCGGAAUUACUGGGCGUAAAGCGCACGCAGGCGGUUUGUUAAGUCAGAUGUGAAAUCCCCGCGCUUAACGUGGGAACUGCAUUUGAAACUGGCAAGCUAGAGUCUUGUAGAGGGGGGUAGAAUUCCAGGUGUAGCGGUGAAAUGCGUAGAGAUCUGGAGGAAUACCGGUGGCGAAGGCGGCCCCCUGGACAAAGACUACGCUCCAGUCGAAAGCGV
rnacentral:rRNA from 1 species